rnacentral:lncRNA from 1 species
GGGUCCUCGCCACCCCCCCUCUAAUCCAUCUAGCAAGCCAUGGCUGGACACCGCUUUCCCCUGAAGCCUUAACCACGCACGAUCUGAAAGCGUGAGGUCACCGGCGAGCACGAAUUCAAGAGAGAACAAAAAAAAUCGUCGCCGCGCCGAGGAGAGAAAGAAAUCGCGCCAUACGCAUGGCCAUGGUCGUCGUCGGGGCUUCAGGGCCACUCAAGCUUGCAGCAGUUGCUUCUGGGGGCCUAACCACGGCGCGCCCUGCGUAGCAGGGUUGGGAAGACGGACUGGGAUCGCUCCUGGGCAGCUGUUGCGGUGCCGGUAGGGCAGUUGCGUGUUUGCGGCUGCUCCUGUGCGCUGGAGGGUCGCUGGGUCCGGCACUGUGGGCUCGUCACCAUAGUCCACGGAUUCGUACCGGAAAGUCUCACCGUGCGUGGAGGUCCGGGCAGGUGAACUUUCUGCGGCGGUUUGGCGGCCGAAGAUCUUGGAAUUUGUUGACGAAAUGCAUGCUCCUCCGCAUGUCCGCUGUGCGCCGUGGCCAGGGGUAUUCAUUCUGCGAUUGCCGGUAAGACACCUCCCAUGAUGUUCGCCGUCCUCCCUUGUACGUCUGGAUUAGAUCCGUUUUUUGGAUGGGACACCAGUGCACCGAGGCGCCGUUCUCCGACGUAGGCUACCGUCGUUGGGGCGGCGCCGCCGUACCCCUGUAGCUGAGCGAGGAAGAAAGACCCCUGGUCGUCCGAUUGGCUUUGGGCGGCCUGGAUUAGAGGCUCGUACCUAUUCAACUCGGUCGGAUCUCGACCGUUGAUCGGUUAUCCUAGGCUUGUGUUAGAUCUGGGCGUGGGACGUUAUGGUCCAUGGAUCUCGAAUCGUGCGGCUGGCACCUGAUACCGGUUCGCUGUUGCGCGAUUUAAUAUGGGGCGUGCAUCCUUGAUUCAACGGCCCGAAUUAACCGAUACCCUUUCGACCUGCGCGUUUUGCAAAAGAGACCUCAUAUUUAACUAUAAACAACCCGCAGUCCGCACUGUGGGAAUACUGAGUCUUGGGAAAAUUGUGAUUUAGGCCCUUGUCUUUUAAGAAAUAUUGUGUCCAGUCCAGAACACUUAGGAUAUUCAGAAAUUAAUAAAGAAAUAGGUUUUUAGUAUGAAAAUAAUUCCAUAAACUUGUAUAAUUGAUAGUUAAUUCAUUUUAGCUCCAAAUUGAGUCAUUCCAGAUGCUAUAAUUUUGUUUUAAUAUUGUCUAUCAACUAGUAACACUGUUUAGCCAUGAAACUUGAAUUAAAAUUGUCCAUUUGAAUUAAUCUGUUCUAGGUGCUACAUAACUUGAGAAAUCCAUAACUUGGUAACCGUAACUCCGAAUUUAAUGAUUCUUGUUCCCACGGUCUCGUAGAAACGCGUAGAUUAUGAUUACGCAAUUUAUUCUUAUGAUUGGUGUGAUGUUAAUUUUGCCUAUACCAUGUAUGUCUGUAUUGCUACGUUUAGCAGUGAGGUCACGUGUCAUCUGAAGAGCAAGUUGGUACCUUCUCAAGUGCCAGGCAAGUUGUGCCCCUUGAUCACUUCUUUUUACCCAGCCAUGUUCUGAUUAAUCAUAAUGAUCUGCAUAGGUUAAUUUUGAUGGGACCCAAUAGGUUACCCUAGUUUGAUUAUCUUUAUACCUUGUUACCACUGAACUUUUUGGGUAGUACUUGCUAGUGCUUUAUGUGGUUUUGGGUAUGAAGAUACAUUACUCAUGAUUAUACUUUUGUUAUCCGUUGUUAUUUAUCGUUCAUGAUAAGAUCAUUAUGUUAAUUGGAACAUGGAGCAACCACCCGGGAAAAUAGUGCUACCACAAGGGUAUAAUGGGACGCCCUUGGCUGAUUAAUUAGGAAAGCUAGUGGAGGACUACCUUACCCGAAAGGGGCAAGGGCAGUAGGGGAGUGGUCAGUGUAGGGAGGCCCUCGGGAUGAUUUUGCUGCGAUGGCGGUCAUGCAAGGGAUUCCUGCAUUGGAGCUUCCUAUAAACUGUAGCGGGUUUUCUGAAGCUAGUGGAACUUUGUAAAGGCCUCGUAGUGUUACCCUGCCUCGCCUCCUCGGUAGAGGUGUAUGGGAAGUCGCGAUCCCUUGGCAGAUGGGUAACAUGACUUGUGGGUAAAGAUGCGCAACCUCUGCAGAGUGUAAAACUGGUAUACUAGCCAUGCUCACGGUCAUGAGCGGCUCGGACACUCACAUGAUUAAAUUAUGGAACUUAAACUCAAUUUGUCAUAUGCAUUGCAUCGCAGGUGAUGUUGUUACUUUUGUUCUACUACUUAAUUGGGUUGGUAUUUACUUAUACUUAGUAAUUGCUAAUAAAAAUUUGACCAACUUUAAAAGCAAUGCUUAGCUCAAACCAUCCUCUUUGGUAAGCCUUACACUUCACGUGAGCUCCCACCUUUGGCGAGUUCAUGCACAUUAUUCCCCACAACUUGUUGAGCGAUGAACGUAUGUGAGCUCACUCUUGCUGUCUCACACCCCCCACAGGUCAAGAACAAGUACCGCAGGAUGAGGCGCUUGGAGGAUGCUGUGACGAGUUCGUGAGAGGUCUAGGCCGUCGUCUCCCAGUCAACUUUGGGUUGCUGGACCGCUGUCUCCUUAUAAUGUAUUUAUUUAUUUAUUUUGUAUAGAACUUCUAUUAUGUAGUAAAGAUGUGACAUUCGAUCCUGUGUCAUGAUUCAUCAUAUGUGUGAGACUUGGUCCCAGCACACCUGGUGAUUAUGUUCGCGCCCGGGUCUUGGUGCCCCAAAAUCCGGGUGUGACAGAAGUGGUAUCAGAGGAAUGUUGACUGUAGGACGAAACCUAGAUAGAACCGGACAACCAUUAUCUACUUACCUCUGCUAUUCUGAUUCUUUUCUAAACUUUUUUUAAUCUUUUCUCGUCUAUUCCCGCUUUACUCUGAUUAUUCUUACCUUUUAUUUCUAAAAGACAAAUGUGGAUUUCACACUUUGAAAUCCCGUACCUAAAGUGACUCUUAGGACUAGGAGACCUAAUCUUAGAAACAAAAACAAAACUAUUUUUAUGGGUAUCUAUACGCUUGAAUGUUUGUUCUUAUGAUACUUGUCUGAUUUGGAUCUUUGAUUGAGUAUGAUGAGUUGUGGAGUAAUGUCCAUAAUUAUAUCUGCAUAUACAUAAUGCUUAUAAAACUAACUAGACAAACUAGAUUAUCUCUCAUUAAAGUAUCUAGCCUAAUAAUAUCCAUCUCAUCAUAAAAGAUUCUAUCAUACACUCAUAGAUCCAUCUCAUCCCAAAAGAUCCUAACUUAUCCUAAUUAAAAUAUAUCUAGCUUAAUAGAUCCAUCCUAUCUCAAAAAAAAUUCUAACAUAUCCUAAUAAUAUUUAUCCUACCUUAGUAGAUCUAUCUAGCCUAAACUAGUCUAAUCUAGUCAUACCCAAUCUAAUCUAGACCCUAUCUAAUCUAAUAUGAUUUAACCUAGUGGGUGAUUCUUAAUGCUGG